GAAGAAGAAGAAGAAGAAGAGAAGUGAUAUCAAAUCAUGUGAAAAGAGAAAUGGGCAUUAUUGAAGCAAAGACCUGUGUAUAGUACAGGAACUUGUGUGGGUUUUGGCUUAGAUAUGAGAGAAGCAAACAAGAAGAAAAAGAGAAAGAGAGCAAUAGCUAAUGAGAACCAAAAUGGCACGCCUUGCUUGACUAAAAACCCAUAAAAUUGAAAAAAUAAAGAAGGGAGAGAAUUAAGAAAAGAAAAAUGAAAAUUUU
rnacentral:misc_RNA from 1 species